CUGACAUCAGGGGGCAGGGAACUACCUAAGAAGUGGUUCAUUUUAUCAUGAGGACCAUUUAGAGCAACAGUACCUUCACCACAGAGAUCUAAGCCGAGCCAGCAUCACUCCACCACUGCUUGAUACUGAGCAAAUGGAUCAGCUUCUUGAGGACAUCUGCACUUCAUUUUAUGACUCAAUAACGUUGCUUUCACAUGAGCCAGGAGAUUUGCCCUUGAUCCCUGCAGUCUUGACAUGGAUCACGGAUGUGAGAUGGAUCACGUGAACUUCAGUCCAAAGAACUAUCAUGUCACUUCUGAAGACAUUGAUUUAACCACUGGAGUCUUAUGGAUUACGUUUAUGCUGCCUUAAUGGUCCUUCAAAUUUCUGGUCACCAUUCACUUGCAUUAUAUGGACUUACAGAGCUGAAAUAUUCUUCUAAAAAUCUUAAUAGUCUGGAUUCCCUGUAGUGACCUUUUUUAAACAUAAAUUUAUUAUUGAUAAGUCUUAUUCUGGCAUACUGAGUUAAUC